rnacentral:rRNA from 1 species
AGCAAUACAAGGCAUACGGCUCAGUAACGCGUAGUCAACCUAACCUAUGGACGGGAAUAACCUCGGGAAACUGAGAAUAAUGCCCGAUAGAACAUUAUGCCUGGAAUGGUUUAUGUUCCAAAUGAUUUAUCGCCAUAGGAUGGGACUGCGGCCUAUCAGUUUGUUGGUGAGGUAAUGGCCCACCAAGACUAUUACAGGUACGGGCUCUGAGAGGAGUAGCCCGGAGAUGGGUACUGAGACACGGACCCAGGCCCUAUGGGGCGCAGCAGGCGAGAAAACUUUGCAAUGUGCGAAAGCACGACAAGGUUAAUCCGAGUGAUUUCUGCUAAAGAGAUCUUUUGUUAGUCCUAGAAACACUAACGAAUAAGGGGUGGGCAAGUUCUGGUGUCAGCCGCCGCGGUAAAACCAGCACCUCAAGUGGUCAGGAUGAUUAUUGGGCCUAAAGCAUCCGUAGCCGGCUCUGUAAGUUUUCGGUUAAAUCUGUACGCUCAACGUACAGGCUGCCGGAAAUACUGCAGAACUAGGGAGUGGGAGAGGUAGACGGUACUCGGUAGGAAGUGGUAAAAUGCUUUGAUCUAUCGAUGACCACCUGUGGCGAAGGCGGUCUACCAGAACACGUCCGACGGUGAGGGAUGAAAGCUGGGGGAGCAAACCGGAUUAGAUACCCGGGUAGUCCCAGCUGUAAACUAUGCAAACUCAGUGAUGCAUUGGCUUGUGGCCAAUGCAGUGCUGCAGGGAAGCCGUUAAGUUUGCCGCCUGGGAAGUACGUACGCAAGUAUGAAACUUAAAGGAAUUGGCGGGGGAGCACCACAAGGGGUG